CCGGGGGGGGGUGCUGCUGCUGCUGCUGCUGCGCUAAUGACUGUUAGACUUUCUUCAGCAAAGAUGGCGGACAGAAAUACUAGGAGAGAGGGGUACCCCUACACAGAACUGAACUGAAUCAAAGAUGGCGGACAGAAAUACUAGGAGAGAGGGGUAACCCUACACAGAACUGAACUGAAUCAAUGAUGGCGGACAGAAAUACUAGGAGAGAGGGGAACCCCUACACAAAACUGAACUGAAUCAAAGAUGACGAACAUAAAUACUAGGAGAGAGGGGUACCCCUACACAGAACUGAACUGAAUCAAAGAUGGCGGACAGAAAUACUAGGAUGGAAGCAAAUGGACUCCUGAAACAACCAGCAAACCAGGCUGUCGUUUUGGGAAACAGUGGAUGUAUAGAAUCUAUCUAGCUGAAGAAUUUACUGCAAAUUGAAUGUAUAAUUUUGUACGCUUUCCUUGCUGAUAUUUGCCAUGCAGAUAGAUGAAAUCACGUAGCUAGCUAUGUUCUUGCUUAUUCUGCAGUGGAUGAUUCAAAUCCCUGUAUGCCCAUGGAUGUGUAGCUAGCUAUCUAGCCGAUCUGUCGUUUUGGGAAACAGUGGAUGUAUAGAAUCUAGCUAGCUGAAGAAUUUACUGCAAAUUGAAUGUAUAAUUUUGUACGCUUUCCUUGCUGAUAUUUGCCAUGCAGAUAGAUGAAAUCACGUAGCUAGCUAUGUUCUUGCUUAUUCUGCAGUGGAUGAUUCAAAUCCCUGUAUGCCCAUGGAUGUGUAGCUAGCUAUCUAGCCGAUCUGUGUAUGGACCCAAACGUUUGGUAUACAUAUUAGUCCAGAACCUAGCUAUGAACCUCAGCUAUCAUAGCCAGUUGUAUCAACUUUAAAACAGCCUGAAUGACAUUAAUGAAGCCUAUGAAUUGAGUAGAAUAUAAUAUCAUGUUGUGCCAAGAAUGCAAGUCGUAUAUACAUGUAGUUAUUACCAUGCAUGAGAUCCCCACUUUGUAGCCUGUACAUUUAAUAUAUUCACUGAUCAUGUACUCUACCUUGGCAAAUAAAGGUGCAGUUUAGGUA